UGGUAACUCUUUUCAAUUUCAGAGAAUACUUAAAAUAACAAAAAUACUUAUGAACACAAAGGAGGAUCCUGAGGUCGGGACGUUCCUUGAAGGAGGAUACUCUGAAGAAUCUGAUACAGACUCAAAUAUUCUUUUGGAGGAUAAUUUACUUAAUAGCCUGGACUAUUGGCUUGAAAGAUUGUUUGAUGGGAGAACACAAAAAUACUAUAUAAAUUAUUGGCCAGACUUUACUACAAAGUAAUAAGCCUAAAGUACCUAUGUAAAUGAAAUGUUUAUAACUGAAGCACAUUUAAAGUCAAAUAAUAAAUCGGUCCCUUAAAUUAGAAUACUUAAAAUAACAAAAAUACUAAUGAACACAAAGGAGGAUCCUGAGGUCGGGACGUUCCUUGAAGGAGGAUACUCUGAAGAAUCUGAUACAGACUCAAAUAUUCUUUUGGAGGAUAAUUUACUUAAUAGCCUGGACUAUUGGCUUGAAAGAUUGUUUGAUGGGAGAACACAAAAAUACUAUAUAAAUUAUUGGCCAGACUUUACUACAAAGUAAUAAGCCUAAAAGUACCUAUGUUAAUGAAAUGUUUAUAACUGAAGCACAUUUAAAGUCAAAUAAUAAAUCGGUCCCUUAAAUUGUACGUGAACUACA